GACGAACGCUGGCGGCGUGCUUAACACAUGCAAGUCGAACGCUGAAGCUUGUGCUUGCACUGGGUGGAUGAGUGGCGAACGGGCGAGUAAUACGUGAGUAACCUGCCCUUGACUCUGGGAUAAGCCUGGGAAACUGGGUCUAAUACUGGAUACGACAUGUCACCGCAUGGUGGCGUGUGGAAAGGGUUUUACUGGUUUUGGAUGGGCUCACGGCCUAUCAGCUUGUUGGUGGGGUAAUGGCUCACCAAGGCGACGACGGGUAGCCGGCCUGAGAGGGUGACCGGCCACACUGGGACUGAGACACGGCCCAGACUCCUACGGGAGGCAGCAGUGGGGAAUAUUGCACAAUGGGCGAAAGCCUGAUGCAGCGACGCCGCGUGAGGGAUGACGGCCUUCGGGUUGUAAACCUCUUUCAGCACGGAAGAAGCGAAAGUGACGGUACGUGCAGAAGAAGCGCCGGCUAACUACGUG
rnacentral:rRNA from 1 species